rnacentral:rRNA from 1 species
AAUUGCAGAAUCCCGUGAACCAUCGAGUCUUUGAACGCAAGUUGCGCCCUAAGCCAUUAGGCCGAGGGCACGUCUGCCUGGGUGUCACGCAUCGUUGCCCAACCCCCGGAUCCUGCGAUCUCGCGGCGGUGGGCGGAGAAUGGCCUCCCGUGCGCUUGCGCCCGCGGUUGGCCCAAAUCAGAGUUCUCGGUGACGCUUCCCGCGACAAUCGGUGGCGUUUGAAACACAACCUAGUGAUCCUGUCGUGCGGUCGGCGUUCUCCCGUCCACGGACUCCUCGACCCUCGAGAGCGCGCGAGAGCGCGUUCGCAUCGCGACCCCAGGUCAGGCGGGAUUACCCGCUGAGUUUA